GGAUUCCCCUAGUAACGGCGAGUGAAGUGGGAAAAGCUCAACUUUGAAAUCUGGCACCUUCGGUGUCCGAGUUGUAGUCUCAAGAAGUGUUUUUCUGUGCUGGUCCAUGUAUGAGUCUGUUGGAACACAGCGUCAUAGAGGGUGACAACCCCCGUUCAUGACAUGGAUACCAGUGCUUUGUGAUACACUCUCGAAGAGUCGAGUUGUUUGGGAAUGCAGCUCAAAUUGGGUGGUAAAUUCCAUCUAAAGCUAAAUAUUGGCGAGAGACCGAUAGCAAACAAGUACCGUGAGGGAAAGAUGAAAAGCACUUUGGAAAGAGAGUUAACAGUACGUGAAAAUUGUUGAAAGGGGAAACGAUUGAAGUCAGACGUGCGUGAUGCGGUUCAGCACUGGUUCGCCAGUGUGUAUUCCGUAUCUUUGCAGGGCCAACAUCAGUUUCGGUAGUCGGAUAAAAGGUUAGUAGAAUGUGGCACCUUCGGGUGUGUUAUAGCUUCUAACUGAAUACGAUUUCUG
rnacentral:rRNA from 1 species